rnacentral:tRNA from 1 species
GGAAGCGUGCCAGAGUGGUUGAAUGGGGCGCUCUCGAAAAGCGUUGUAUCCUUCAUCGGGUACCGAGGGUUCGAAUCCCUCCGCUUCCG